rnacentral:rRNA from 1 species
AUUGAACGCUGGCGGCAGGCCUAACACAUGCAAGUCGAGCGAGCGGCGGACGGGUGAGUAAUGUCUGGGGAACUGCCCGAUGGAGGGGGAUAACUACUGGAAACGGUAGCUAAUACCGCAUACCAUCGGAUGUACCCAGAUGGGAUUAGCUAGUAGGUGGGGUAAUGGCUCACCUAGGCGACGAUCCCUAGCUGGUCUGAGAGGAUGACCAGCCACACUGGAACUGAGACACGGCCCAGACUCCUACGGGAGGCAGCAGUGGGGAAUAUUGCACAAUGGGCGCAAGCCUGAUGCAGCCAUGCCGCGUGUAUGAAGAAGGCCUUCGGGUUGUAAAGUACUUUCAGCCGGGAGGCGUUACCCGCAGAAGAAGCACCGGCUAACUCCGUGCCAGCAGCCGCGGUAAUAC